UCAAAAUAAACAAACAAAAGGGAGCCUUCACAAAGGUUGCUUAGGGGAAGUCUCAGCAGUCGGUAGAGCCCCAGAAAGAGAAAGCACCGGAGGGUGGUUAUCCGGAGCCUCAGUACUUGACAAAACCCCAGAAGGAGGAGGCAUUGGAGGUUCAUCAUUUGAAGCUUCAUUACCAGGUACAGCCCCAGAGGACGAAGGCAAUAAAUGCCUUUGGAACAAACCCACAAACCGCUGAUGAUCAAGUAAAACCUUAUCAUCAGAUUCCUUCAUCUGAUCAAGCUUCCUCUUCAUGUUUGUAGCAUAGUCAUGGGCGAGCCGGUGCAACUGCUUAUUCUCAUGCUUGAGCCCUCUAAUCUCCUGUUUGAGACUCAUCACUUCAGCAGCCAAUGAUUCAACUUGGCGGGUUCUAGCAAAUAGGCGUUGGGCCAUAUUAGACACAGAACCUGCACACUGAACACUAAGAGCCAGAGAGUCCUUAACAACCAACUCAUCAGACCGUUUGGAAAGUAGUCUGUUAUCUUUGGGAGUGAGAAGGUUCCUGGCCACCACUGCAGCGGUCAUAUCAUUCUUCAUCACAGAAUCCCCAACGGUAAGAGGACCAGUAGGGGAUAUGAAGGAUGGGCGCCAUAUGUUGUCUGGAGAAGGCGUGGCUGUCUCUUCUCCAAGGUUCAAGGUCAAAACGACGGUCGGAGGGUCCAGACAUUUUCAAAUGUGUUGAAGAAGGAAGAGGUCAGACAAAUCAAGAUCUUAGAAGUGCAAGAAAUGAGCUUCUACUGGUAGAGAUUCAGGUGUGCUGUGGAACUUAAUGCCAGCCUCUAUAAAAAUCUGCACUCGACGGAGCUUCAGAAAUCGAAGAGGCGUUUUGCUUUCUCAAAAGCUGGGCUGCUCAGAGACCACGAGGGCCGAUCUCAGAAAUCGAAGAGGCGUUUGCUUUCUCAAAAGCUGGGCUGCUCAGAGACCACGAGGGACGAUCUCAGAAAUCGAAGAAGCACCUGCUUUUUCAGCCUCGUCAGCACCUGUCACAUGCACAAUCAGCUUUGCGAAAUUACGGGCAAUCUGUCGAAGAUUUCUGGUGAAGUAAAAAAGCACGUGAAUCUUACUGUUCAAUCACCGCUCUCCAUAUGCACCAUCAACUCCUCGGGUACCACAUAUAACUUUGUCAAAGAUCUCUGACAAAGUUUAGGCACGAGAAUUUCGAAGUUCCAGCUACCCUACUAUUACCCAUAAGGGUAAAGGAACAGCACCACUGCUUGACAACUGGAAAGUCCCUAUGUGUGUCGACCUCCGUGUUUUGCGGCAAGACAGGUUGGCAAGAACGUCCAACCUUUACUCACAUUCGAGAAAAGACUCCCAACAUAAUUACUUUCUCAAAAACCGGAGUAGCACCGCUUUCCGAAUCUCGAGAGUCAGAUCCUCGACGGGAUUGCUUGUUCGAAAACCGAAGAGGCACAACUCUCAGAACUUCGAGAGCCAGAUUUCCUUAGAUAAAGCUUGUCUGUAAUCUUCACACGUAACAUCAGCUUUCCAGAUACCACAUACCACUUUUUCAAAGUGCUCUGACAAAAUUAAAACACGUGAAGCUGGCAGCUCCCACUACAUUGCUGUGACCAAGAAGGGUAAAGGAAUAUCAUUACUACUUGUUAUUGGGAAAUCCCUAUAUACAUUGACCUCCCUCCUCAACGGACAGGCAAACCUGCAAAAAUGCUUAACCCUUUCUCGCAUUCGAAAAGGCACCCUCAACAUAACCUCUCGAAAUACUCAGCUUUAUUUCCCCCCGAUAAUACCUCAGCAAAUAAGCCACACCAAGAACAAGAGUAUCUCAUAUCAUCAGGGUCGAAAGCAAGAGUAUCCCAUAUCAUGCUUUCUCCCUAUCUUUGUCUUUGUCCUUGUCCACACCUGCAGGACAAGGAGAAAGAGAGCAGUCAGUCGGAACCUGAAAUCAAACCUCCAAUUUGGAACUGACUGCCUGGAGCCUUUGCCUAGUUGCUUACUUAGCAUUGCUCUCGAGUACUCAUCCUCAACUGCUGUCAAGGUCACGAAUUCCACCGGCAAAUACCUCAUGACAGUUGAUCAGAUAUUGGCUCUUUACACUGAAGCUGCCAAGCGUGGAUGAGUCACUAUGAAGGAAUGUUCUGAAUGACCAUUUAAAUGCAAAGGUUGCACACCACUUCUGCCAUGCAAAAGAUUGAAGCAGAAGGUUCAACGGUGAGCUGAAACAGAUCACUACAGCACGACACCUUUCCAUACCACAUUCAUUAUUCCGUCAACAGCAAAAGUAUCCCAUAUCAUCAAGGUCGAACGUACUCUAGAUUUGAUGGACUUGUUUUGACCCUCAAAUUUUUGAGUCGGCCUUAUACUCUGAAGGGCACCAGAAAACCCUCCAGCACAGUUCAAGAAUAAGCAUGUGGAAAGUUACUUCUUCAAAAGCAAAAGUAUCUCAUAUCAUCUCUUAUCCAUUUGCUUCUCCUUAUCCUGGCAAUUGAAUGAGAGACAAGGAGAAGGAGAACAAUCAACCGGAAGCCGAAGUCAAACCUCUGAUCCUGGGUUGCUUACUUGGAAGUUUGACUGCUUACCUUGUCUGUCACCUCUUUCGGCAGAUCUCCUAGCUCGGCGACUUGGGGGACUCCUACUAUAGGGUUUGUAUCACACUUGACUAAGCCCGAAACUACAACUAAGCUUCAAGUGAAAUUGAUACAUUACCUUGUGCGUCAACAUCAGCUAAAUACACCAUUCCCGGAUGGAGGAAAGGUACUUCCAGAGAAGGGCAGAUGAAGAUCAGACCACACUUCGGUACUUAGAAGUUUCGUGAUUACUCAAGGGAUUGGAUCUUGCAAGUCCCCAACCGAGGAGUUUCCCUCACUCGGGAACUUAGGGGAGCACUGUUUGUACCAUACUUGACCAAUCCCGAAACUACCGAGCACCGGCCAACGCUAUACUGUCAAUGACCCAUAAGAGUUCCCCUCCGACCAGGAGGCCAAUCACUAUUAGAAGCCAAUCAGAGCGCAGCACGUGUCGACAUCAAGAACCAAUCAUAACAUGACACAUGUCAAUGUGACAAAGCUACAAGUUUUUCUAUAAAUAGGGGUCAUUCCCCCACAAUAUUGCCUAAUGCCAUUUGUGUUAAAUCAUUCACAAGAACUCACUAAAUUGAGAGCUUGAUCCUUUGUACUUGUGUAAGCCCUUCACUACUAAUAAGAACUCCUCUACUCCGUGGACGUAGCCAAUCUGGGUGAACCACGUACAUCCUGUGUUUGCUUCUCUGUCUCUAUUCAUUUACGUACUUAUCCUCACUAGUGACCGAAGCAACCAAGCGAAGGUCACAAAACCUGACACUUUCUGUUGUACCAAAGUCUUCGCUGAUUUUGUGCAUCAACAAGAGUAAACUUUAUACAUGUGGCCGAGUCCAGUUUGGCCAGGAAGGCCCUCUAAUUGGCUCGCACCCGUCGAAACCCUAAGAUGGGUGUUCUUCAAUUCGGCUUCCUUGGUGUUCCAACGUCCCACCCACCAGUUGGGUCUUGUUCCUAGGUCCAAGGGAAGUUGAUUAAGGGUGAUGAUGAAUGAUGAUACUCUCCGGAACGACAAUUUGUCGUCGAAAACCCCCGGGUUCUCUUGUGGAGUUCUACUCGAAUUAGGCCUUAAAAAUCCUUGAUUUCUUGUGGAGAUGGAAGGAAGAACAUAGUUGAGCAAGUUGCAGGUGAAGGAGAUAGGAAAAUCAGAUGAGAAAUGGAGGAAUUUGCCUGAAAUUGGCCGAUUUGAAAGUGUGCUGGUGGAGCACACGACAGGUUCACAAAUGGGGGAGGGAGGAUUUUUGCUUUUCUCCUUUUAAUUGGCCUUUUCUACCCUCCAAAAAUCUGAUUGUCCCCUUUUUAUUAUUAGACUAACUUAAUCUUUAGCCCACAUGUGGAAAUUAAACAAUUCCCACAAUUUAUAGUUCACAACUUCAAACAUAAAUAAUUAUACCGUUAUAAUUCGGACUCGCAAACGGCUUCUGCCUAUGCAUUCGUGGGUUCGAGAUCUAUUUAAAAACACUAGUUGUAACUUCGAAAUAUCAACGAAAGAUAAAGAUUGAUCAAGAAACUUCCAACUCGAUAACUAAUCAAUUGCUAAACUUAUAAUUAGAGGAAUUAAAUUAACUAAUAAAGAUAACGUAAUCACGAAAUACGAAUUUAAGAUACGAAAUACGUAAUAAAUGGUGAAAUUCCGGGGAUUUCACAGUAAUUGACCCUUAUAUAUAGCUAAGGUAAACUAAAUUAUAACCUCCACUACUUCUUCUUCUAUUUUCUUCUAUCAUAUUUGUCUUCCUUUUCUCUCUCCUUGUAUGAAAUAUUUUAGUUGAAAAGUCUUGGCAUUCUUCAACAUUACUCUAUAGUAUCCUACAUCCACCAUCGACAAGUCUCUACAAAUAAUAUUAGUUGUCGACAUAUAUUGGGAUAAACUUUCAACAUAUGUUGACAAGAAUUGGUAAGUGUCUAUUAGGUGUUCGACGAAAUGACCCAAUGAAGUUUUUUUGUUGAUAUUAUGAUCUCAUUAUUUAAAAAUCUUGUCUACGCCAUUAGGUGUGAGAUUAUAUAUACCAAUAUGGACAUUUUUACGGUAUAUAUUUGCCUCCCCAGUCCCCAAGUCCUAGCUGCAACAACGUCCAAUACUGAACCUGAACACUGAAGGAGUUAGUUCAUUCGAACGCUCUAGGUCAGAACUAAUUUACUUAGAACAAGACCCCCAACUCCUGGCAUUUACUUCCCUUCCCUAGAUCCAAUCCAAGUCCAGCUAGCUGCUUUCGACUAGACUAAUAUUUUAUUAAACCAUUAUCCACUGUCAAACUGCAAACUUGGAUAUUCGAGCUUCAGGAGCUCCCUUGGGCCUUGGCAAUGGCAUCAUUUCGCUCCCGUUAUCAAUCCUAUUCCUAUUUCCUACGUUUAUCUCAAAAACCAGAGAAAUAUAUUACAAUUUAGACAACAAAAGAGUCUACAAAAUGUGGAGGGAGGUGGUGCUGCCUAGUUCGGAGGAAAGGAUGCUCGCGAACCCCCCAUGGACAUUGUUGCAGCAGAGAAACCCUAGCCGGUGCUGGUGGUGGGCAAGCUAGGAAGGGAGUCCCAACUCCCAACUCUCAAGGGUGGGACGGAGGUUAACGGUCCGUUUAAACUACCAAAAGCGAAACGGUUUUAUAGCUCCAAUCAGAAUCAGGUGGUUCUACGACUAAGAUCGAGUAAAUAGAAAAUCUGAAAAAGUUACGUGGCAGCUCUAAGGUUUACGUGGGAUACUCCAUCAUGUUCCGCAACACACAAGAUAGGCCCUCGGGUUUGAGAAAUUUUAGUACACCAUAUGUUUUAUAUAAAUAAAGACUAUUUUUUUUAUAAGUACAUUGAUUUUUUUUUAUACUAAAUCUAAAUUAUAAAAUAGACAGCUUAAUUUGGUAUCAAAUCUGUCAUCUACGAGAUUUAAGUUUAAGACCAUUCACUUUCAAGUAAAAAGAAAUACUAGUACGGUUGAAUAACUUAUUUUUAAGUUAAUAAUUUUUUAACACAAAUAUUUCACCAUUUGUAAUCCUACCGUAACAUCCGUAUUUCGAACCAGUGAAAAAUCUCUCCUCAGUUGGCGUUUCCCUCCGCUAAAACUAUCGCCACCCGAAACAAAACAAACCGAUAAAAUACUCAAUAGAAUACCAUUAACCAUACCCAGUUGAGUAAUUCAGUUGGCUGGGGUUUGUCGCCGCUUAACAGCCAUCCCCAACUGCAACACCACAACUUCUUUGGUGGAGGAGGAGGAGGAGCCGCCGUUUGAGGAGGUAGAUGCUCAACUCAGCUCUCUCACUAGUAAAUUGAGUCAACCAAAUUCAAAGGAAGUGUAAAGAUGAUGCUUCUGCCAGUGCCAGGUUCGACUUGCUUCCCUUCCAUUCAAUUGGCUUCUCCGACACUCAUCCGCCACCACCACCAUGUCUGGCCUCUGUCCGCCACCGCAGCCGCUGCCGUCACCAAUUCAUCCGAACCCCAUCUGCCCCCAAUUCCAUCUUCCUCAACUACGAUUCAUUUAACCUCAACCUCGAGACGACGCCGCUUUGGGGACGACCAAGCUGCCGCUUCCCCCUACGACUUCGGUCCCCUCCUCACCUUCCUCGCCAACUCAUUGUCAUCCGAUAAUGAUUCCGCCUCCUCCUCUUCCUCUUCGUCCUCCUCCUCCUCUUCCUCUUCGUCCUCCUCCUCCUCCACCUCCUCUCCAACCUCACUCGACCCGUCCGAGUUCCAGCUGGCCCAGUCCUACCGCGCUGUCCCUGCUCCACUCUGGCACUCCCUCCUCAAGUCCCUCUGCGCCUCCCACUCCUCCUCCGACAUUGGACUUGCCUACGCCGUCGUUUCGUGGCUCCAAAAGCACAACCUCUGCUUCUCCUACGAACUCCUCUACUCCAUCCUCAUCCACGCCCUCGGCCGCUCCGAGAAGCUCUACGAGGCUUUCUUGCUCUCCCAGCGCCAAUCCCUCACUCCCCUCACCUACAAUGCUCUCAUCGGCGCCUGUGCUCGCAACGGCGACCUCGAGAAGGCACUCCAUUUGAUGUCCCGCAUGCGCCAGGACGGUUACCGCUCCGACUUCGUCAACUACAGCUUGAUCAUUCAGUCCCUCACCCGCUCCAAUAAGAUUGAUUCCCCAAUCAUGUUCAAGCUCUACAGGGAGAUUGAGUCCGAGAGCAUUGAGAUUGAUGGCCAGCUCUUCAACGACAUCAUUGCUGGUUUCGCCAAAGCCGGCGAGCCCUCCCAGGCUGUGCACCUUCUGGCCAUGGUCCAGGCCACUGGCUUGAGCCCCAAAACUGCCACUCUGGUUGCUGUCAUCUCAGCCUUGGGGAAUUCCGGCAGGGUCGUUGAAGCCGAAGCUAUCUUUGAGGAAAUGAGAGAAGGAGGAUUGCAACCCAGGACUAGGGCUUACAAUGCCCUUCUCAAAGGCUAUGUGAAGGCAGGUCAACUGAAAGAUGCCGAAUCCAUUGUGUCCCAGAUGGAGAAGAGCGGUAUUUCUCCUGAUGAGCACACUUACAGCCUGCUCAUUGAUGCCUAUGCGAAUGCAGGUAGGUGGGAAAGCGCAAGAAUUGUGUUGAAAGAGAUGGAAGCUAGCAAUGUGCAGCCUAAUUCCUAUGUUUUCAGCAGGAUUUUAGCCAGCUACCGUGAUAGAGGGGAGUGGCAAAAGUCGUUCCAAGUUUUGAGGGAGAUGAAGAGCAGUGGAGUAAGACCCGAUAGGCAUUUUUACAAUGUCAUGAUUGACACUUUUGGAAAGUCCAACUGUCUUGAUCAUGCUAUGGCUACCUUUGAAAGGAUGCUAUCUGAGGGAAUCCACCCGGACACCGUCACCUGGAAUACGCUUAUAGAUUGUCAUUGCAAGUCAGGCCACCAUGUAAGGGCGGAGGAGUUGUUUGAGGAAAUGCAGCAAAGUGGGUGCGCCCCUUGCGCCACCACCUAUAACAUCAUGAUCAAUUCCUUUGGGGAGCAGCAAAGAUGGGAUGAGGUGAAAGGCUUGUUGGGGAAGAUGCAGUCUCAGGGUUUACUGCCUAACAUAGUUACCUAUACCACAUUAGUUGACAUUUAUGGAAAGUCGGGGAGAUUUACUGAUGCAAUAGAGUGUUUGGAGGUUAUGAAGUCUGCAGGCAUGAAGCCAUCCCCGACGAUGUACAAUGCCCUAAUUAAUGCCUAUGCACAAAGAGUAAGUUGUCUUCCUUACUCUAAUGUUAAUGUGUGUGCGUGUGUACUUGUAUGCCGAUGCUCUGUGUGUGUGUGUGUGUAUUUACUUACUUGUAUUCCGAUGCUGAAGCGUGUGUGUGUGUGUGGAGUGUGUGUGUGUGUGUGUAUUUACUUACUUUUAGAUAGAUAUCAACCAGAAAGCUAUUCUUCUUACUUCAGACUACCAGUUUUGUCUUUCUGUUUGGAGUGUGUGUGUGUGUGUGUUUUUACUUGUAUUCCGAUGCUGAAGCUUUUAGAUAGAUAUCAACCAGAAAGCUAUUCUUCUUACUUCAGACUACCAGUUUUGUCUUUCUGUUUGGAGUGUGUGUGUGUGUGUGUGUAUUUACUUACUUGUAUUCCGAUGCUGAAGCUUUUAGAUAGAUAUCAACCAGAAAGCUAUUCUUCUUACUUCAGACUACCAGUUUUGUCUUUCUGUUUGGUGUGUGUGUGUGUGUGUUUAUUUACUUGUAUUCCGAUGCUGAAGCUUUUAGAUAGAUAUCAACCAGAAAGCUAUUCUUCUUACUUCAGACUACCAGUUUUGUCUUUCUGUUUGGAUCCCUGAUAGUGAAUUGGAUUGUCUUAUCGUGAGUGUGAGGGUUGAGCAUCCAUUUGAUUUGAUCUUCCUUGUGAAUCUUUGACAGGGUUUGUCAGAGCAAGCACUGAACGCGUUUAGGGUAAUGAGAGCAGAUGGAUUAAAACCCAGUCCCUUGGCUCUCAAUUCGUUAAUCAACGCAUUUGGUGAAGAUAGAAGGGAUACUGAGGCCUUUUCUGUGUUGCAGUACAUGAAGGAAAAUGUAAGUUAUUUAUAAUGUUGUGACAGUCACUGAUACUGCACUGAUUGGUACAAAAAUUGAUCUUGUUUCCUUGUAACUGCAGGACCUGAAACCAGAUGUAGUUACGUAUACUACACUUAUGAAAACCCUUAUCCGUGUUGAUAAAUUUUGUAAGGUAUGAAUUUCAUAUAAUAUUAGCAUAGAUAACCGUUGCAUGCAUAACAGCCAGGCUUUCAGCUUAUAAGGUUUUAUUGAAUAUUUUACCAUUUCACUUCUGUGUAUGCACACAGGUAUGUAUGUAUGUAUGUAUACACACACACACACACACACAUACAUAUAUUUGAUUUUGAAUGUAUAAGUUGCAUGAUUUUGGUUUCAGGUUCCAGCGGUGUAUGAAGAAAUGAUUAUGUCUGGCUGCACUCCAGAUAGGAAAGCGAGGGCAAUGUUACGGUCUGCGCUGAAAUACAUGAAACAGACACUCAGAUCCUAAAUGACAUGAUUUGAGUCAUACAGCCACAGUUAAAUGUGUUCACCUAUUAUUUUGGUCUAGUCAGGUCUGGUACGAAGGUUAGGCCAAACCCGUUUAUCUUUAUGAUAGUCAAAAUUUUGUGGAAUUAAGUUUCACAUAUGCCAGCAUCUUCGACAGUCUGAUGAUUUUGCAGGAAUGAUGAUUCGCACUGGCCAUCGUGCAAGAGUAUCCAAUAUCAAGGGCAAUCGUGUUCCGGAGUAUGGGAACAAUGACACUGAGCACACCCUAGUGACAGACACAAGAACAGCUGAAGAAAUACACCCCCAUCACCAUUAGCAUUACCAUUACCAUUACCUCACUCAAAUUUUGGGUUGUAAUUGUUUUCCAUAAGCACCGCUGCACCAGAUAAAAUGUGAUUCAUUGCUUGUAUCUUGUAAAAAUUUGUCCGAUUAUUUUUCAUCAUAAAGUAGAAUGUAAUUAUAAAACUAAGUUGCAUGUGUUUUUGUAAAUUUAUCAGAAGGAAGUAUGCAAACAAAUAUGGUGACGUCAACUCUUGGUUAUUCAAGGAAUGAACAAGAACAACGAUUAAUUGCUUAGAGAUUCGAGUAAAAUGCGAGUAUAAAUUCAAUCCAAGCAAAGAGAUGAUCGCUUAAAUGAAAAGAAUAUUAUGGGUUUGAAUAUUGUUCCCAUCGUGCGUACUUGUACAAAAUAAAAAAUUCAACUUAAAGUACAGCUUUUCUAAAAAAUUUGGCAUACACCCACCCCCUACAUGUUUCUUAUUUUUGCUUCUCCUUUUUCCCAUGACAACUGGGAACGUGAAAUCAAAAAAUUCACUUCAAAUUAUGGACCUAAACUUCUUGCUGCUCAUGGUGUUUCACAAUUGGUAUUGAAAAUCAAUGGAGAAGUGGAGGAAAUGUGCGGAACAACAUGUCGGUCAAUACAGUGCAGCACGAAGCCUCUAACACGGAGUCGUUUCACAGUAUCAGAUUGCAAUAGCAGAAACAAUUGGUCUGGCACACUUGCUUUUUGAAAUUCUGGAACAGAACAUGAACAUUAACAGAACAGACGAUAACAAGAAGAGCCUGAAAUAUGUUCUUAUCUCCUGCAUUCCUAGUUCAAGCACCUCCAUCUUCUUUCCGUAUCUACUACUCCUCUCGACUAAGUACCCUUCAAGAUACUCAUCUAUGGAUACCCACUUGUCUAAUAAGGUGGGCACAGAAGACUUUGAAUAAUUUUCACCAAGCUGCUCUGGCCCCAAUUUAAAAAUUGUGAAAAAUGCAGCUGACCAUUCAUUGAGAACUCUCUGAAAGCGAAAAGAUUUAUACUGUUUUCAUUAACUGACCCUUCAAAUAUAUGCAGAAACUUAAAAGAUGACCAAAAAACUGACAUACAUUGAAGGUACCCAAUUCUGUGGGAUUGAACAUUUUGAAGCAAUCUCUUGAUGAGGCUGCUCCAUCUCCAUAUAUCUGAGUCACAACGAAAAAGGAUGCAAAUUUGUCUGGGUCAGGUUGCUUUAAGAUCAGAACUUUGAGGGGAAAAUGAGGGAUAACUUGACAAACCUCAAAGGUGAAAGCCAUUGGCACCUUUACAAUGUCGAACAUAAAAUCAGUUGCUGUCCCAUGUGCCAGGUACCUAGAAAUAAAACUUGAUGAAAAACCAUUUGAAAGAGUAAGCAUUGAAACCUAUGAGUUUGGCUCAUGAGGAGAAAUGUUGGCUCUUUUUUUUGGGGGGGGGGUGGGGGCUAAAGGUUAAUGAGCCAAAUAAAGCACUUAAAAUUUCAGUCGCAGCAGGGCUUAGCCUUGCAGUCCAGCUACCACCACAAAAGGUGGUUACGUAAAGAAUAGAAUCUGAUCUUAAAAUUUCAGGUAACGAUCAACUGAACAUUAUAAUAAUGACUUAGUAUUACUAACCCAACAGAACCUCCACCAGACCCAACCAUGCAACGCUUUUGGAAAUGCAGUUGGUUGAGUUCUUCAAGCAAUGACUUCAUCUGGUGGGAGGAAAGUCCAUCUGGGGUUGUGUUCUUAUGGUCAUACGGCAUAAAUAGAGCCUGAACAAACCAGAAGCUAUAUAAGAAAUGUAUCAUAUGCAGAGUACACAAACCCUAAGUUGAAAAGAAUAAAAAAUUGAGGAUCACUUUGACACUUCAAUGGUAAUUGGAAAAAGAACGUAAAAUUGUAUAAAGUGGCAAACCAUAGGGUGACAUUGCAUUUGGUAAAACGGAAUUACAUUAAUAAUUAACUUCAAAAAUGGUAGAUAUGACUUCGGAGUCAACAUGAGGGAAUACUAACUGAAAGUUUAUGUGACCUACCUCCAUCCCAGAGUGUAUAUUAAUCCAUAUGUGUGGAUCAAAUGACAUGGAAACUUUCCGCAUUAUCUGAGUUUCAGGCUCGCUGAAAGGAGCAGUUCCAGGAUGGAUCAUAAUCCUGGGAUAGAAAAACAAAAUAAAAGCAAAAGAAUAGUCUUAAGCACAAAAUAGAACCAGAACUGGAAUGACAGUUGAAUAUUGAAGUUAAGGAGACGAAGCAGGAAACAAUACGUGAAGCUCAUCAUCUAAUGGUGGGUUAUAUAUUAAGUGUAGUGCUAUAUAAUCUUAAAGAACAUCGACCUAAAGAAGACAUCUUAAUCAAUUCAAUACACUUAAAUGAUGAAAUAAACAAGCAACAUGAUAAAUGCAGUAUUGUAUGAUUAACCUUCUCUUUUUUUUCCCCAAUCCACGCUCCAAUUACGGUUGGGAUCAACUCCCCUCCCUGUCCAAUAUGCAAAUUAAGCAUUCAACAAUCUUUAUAAGAAGAGAUACAUAAAUCAAGGAUUCAUGCACAUAAACAGACAUAAAAUCUUGAAGAAUUACCACACACGGGAGCAUUUUACAGUUACCAUGCCAUCCGUGGAAAAAUCUCUUAUUAGUGUUCUUUCAUAUAAUAGGGGAGCAUUUGAUUGACAGAGAAUUCUAUUUAUAAUGGUGUCUGUGUGUCUCUGUGUGCGUGUGUGUGCAUAUAUAUUUUAGAUCCCAGAAAAUCAAUUGCUUUACCAUUUCUCCUCUCACAGAGGUCUCCUGCUUCAACAAGUCUACGGCCAUUUAAGUUUUCCAUCGGAACCACCUGACAUAAAAUAAGAUAUCAGAACUCAAAAAAUACCAAACUUGUUGAAGUAUCUCUCUCCAAAGAAAUAGCUAAGAAUUGCAGCACAUUACAAAAAUGUUACCUUUAUCAAGAGCUUGUCAAGGGUACUGUCUAAGGACACGGGGUCCAGGUUGGGUAGAAACUGUUCUUUACUCAAGAUUGAUAGGAUUCGUAAUGCAAGCUCGGAUGUAAUAAGCUCCCUUCCAUGCUGCCCAAAACUCUGGAAGACAAGGAAUCAUCUGUCAAAAACACCAGCCAUUACCAAUCUGAGAUUAUCUAUGACCAUAAACAGCCAGCCCACUAUGCAAAAUAUAGUCAGAACGAAUUCAGCGUAUAAUAAAACAUGAAAAAAAAACUUACAAGAAGGAUCCGUAACUUUGGCUGGUCAUCAGUCUCUUGCCUUCUCCGGCAAUAGGUAACUAUUGCGAUCUCAGCAGAGUAGCCCUUGUUUCGAGAUUUCAUUGUAUCCAACUGCCAUUAACAUCAAAGUAUUGGAAUAUGAAAUGAAUUUCAGAAAAAUGAUCAGACUCUCAAGCAGAGGAAACCUACAGUGAGCUCGUCUGGGUGCCGAAAGACGAGAGCUUUAAUUUCUUCCAUCAAAUCCCCACUGCAGACAAAUAUGCAUUUAUUGUAGAUGAUGUUUUCGGGGUUAAAUUAAAUUGGCUGAGGAAUUCAUAACAAGUUCACAUGAUCAAAGUAAGGCAAAUAAUUGAAAGGUGAGGGAGGGAAUAGCCAAGGUUCCCUACAACUUGUGACCAACCUAACCAACCAUAGAGUCAGAAAACAAGAAAUUAUAGAAAGAAACAGAAAACCCAUCUCAAGAUUUAACCAAAAAUACAUGAAUCAACCAGUAACUACCAUUCGGUACAAUCCGCAGAAGGCAGAUGAGAUUAAUCAGUCAAAAUACAUGAUUAGUGCAAAAAGAUUGGAAUAAAGUAAAGAAAUAAAACAAAUUGAGAAAGAAAGUAGAGGUGACCUGGAAUGGUAGAGAUCGCGGUUCAUGGGGGUGAGAGAAGAAGGAUUGGUGAUGUUAUUAGUAUUGCCAUGGACGACCAAGAAAGCUUGCAACCACGCAAAGAAGCAGAGAGUGAUGGAUAAAGGAGAGGAGAGAGGAAGGAGAUGAGCCAUGGCAUUGGCAAUCAUCGGAGGAACAAGGAGAUGAGCCAUGGUUUGGGUUUUCAUUAUUCCAUUAUUUAUUAUAUUCUCUCUUUUCUUUGGAGCUGUGGAUGGUCAAUGGUUCAAUGGUCAUGGUGGCAAAAUGGCAUAAGAAUAAAACAAAAAAAACAGGGGAAAGAUAAGGGUUGUAUUGUCUUUUGGUCUCUUGAUUAUUAUUCCAUUUUUCACGUUCGACGGUCUUGAUGAUAUUGAUACCUCCGCAGCGCUCCACUUACAUUACAUUUUAGGGUUAUAUACAAUUUCGAACAAGAUACACUCCAAAUUCCAAAACAACACAAAAUAUGGGGAUUUGAUGAUUGGAGUUGAUUAUAAUCAUUUAUCCAUGUUCAUGUCUAAUUCAAAAAUGACACACAUAAACAUGUAUACGUGUAAUUGUAUAACUAGUUAAGCUAUAUAUAACAUAUAUAUUAUAAUUACUCAAAAUUCGCGUAUAGUUUCACUUGUGUUUUCAUGUAAUGGGCUCAUUGAUCGUUGCAAUCAAUGGUCAGGUCAUUUUUUAUCUUCCCGGCAAGCGGGUAAAACCCAAUCAAGAUCUCCGACAAAGACGUCUUCAGAGCAUGCAACCUUUUCAUGAUUGUGGCAUCAUCAUCGUCUUCAUCGUUGUUGUCUUCAAGAUCAUCAUCUUCAAGGAAAGUGAUAGUAGUGCAGGGUCUUAUGAUGUAGGAGUAUCAUAAUAGUAUAAGAAUUGUCAUAAAAGAGGAUAAUGGGAGCAAGGGAGCAUGUAUGAGUUGAUCCAAAAGGGAAAGCUUAAAAAUUCUUAGGUGGGAGGGUGUUGGGGAAGAUGGUUUAAUUCUCUCUUUGGAAAAAAUUUCCACUUCCAUUUUCAUCAUCAACGUAGUAUGGUGUGUACUUUUGUUUGACAAUUUCUUAAUUUAAAAUAAAAAUAAAUGUUAAAAAGAAAAAAUCUUGGAGGUUUCAACUACCUAGUUUAUAACUCUCUUUACUAAUCUCAAGUAUCUUGAAAUUCCAACUUUCAUACCUAAAGUUUUUUUUGUCCCACUUUCAUACCUAAAGUUUGAAUUUUGUGAUACUUUCAUACUUUGUUAGCCUUUCUGUCAAGGCUCUGUUAUUUGCCUACAUGGACGUCGCAGAACACAUAAUAUUUGAGCCAAGUGGAUAAAAUAGAAAAAGAAUUACCUAACAAAAUUACUACCAUUUUUAUCCACGUGGCACAAAAUAUUAUGCAAUCAUCGACGUUCAUAUAAGUAGACGAAAGUGUGAAAGUGUCACAAAACUCAAACUUUAGAUAUGAAAGUGAGACGAAAAAAGCUUUUGGUAUGAAAGUUGAAAAUUAACGAUAUUUGAAAGUGGUAAGUGACAAUUUUUCCUAAUGGCUUAAUGCUAGCGAAACUAAAUUUGUAGACAAAAUUUACAAACUAAAUGAUGUGUCAUCAAUAGGAAUGAGUUUGUUUAUCAACGCUUAAGUCAUAAUCCAAUCAUCAACUUCCAUGUCAUAAUCCAAUCAUCAACUUCCAUGUCAUUCUGAAUUUUUGAUAUGUUAUGAAAGAGACGAUGAGGCACAACUUCAAUGAAGAAAGCAUGCUGAUCUGAACAAUAGAAAAUGGAGUUUCGAAGCUCACAACAAAUCUGACGGGUUGACAGACAAAUGAUAAACAGUCACUCAUCAUACCUGGAUUUCUGGAGUUAUACUGCUCCGAGGGACCUCAAAUUUGGAUAUGUUGUAGUUCACAAGUUAAGGAACAACUUCGAUGAAGAAAGUAUGUUGAUCUGAACAAGAGAAAAUGGAGUUUCGAAGCUCACAACAAGUCUGACAGGUUGACAGAAAAAUGAUGAACAGUCACUCAUCAUACCUGAAUUUCUGGAUUUGUACUGCUCCGAUGGAUCUCAAAUUUGGAUAUGUUGUAGCUGACAAGGUGAGGAACAACUUCGAUGAAGAAAGUAUGUUGAGAUGAACAAGAAAAAAUGGAGUUUAGAAGCUCACAACAAGUCUGACGGGUUAACAGAAAAUUGAUGAACAGUUACUCAUCAUACCUGAAUUUCUGGAGUUGUACUACUCCGAUGGAUCUCAAAUUUGGAGAUGUUGUAGUUCACAAGAUAAGGAACAACUUUCAUGAAGACGACUUUGCGAUCUGAGCUAUAGAGAAUGGUGUUAUCUUGCAUCCACUCAGGCUGAUUAGUGGAAACGAAAAGCAAUUCCACCAAAGAAAAGAUGAAAAAGAGAGAAAAGCUACUAAUUGCACUUGAUCUUGUCUAGUCAAUAGCAUGCAGCAUCAAACACACACAAAAGUUGGAAAUGUUUUUAGAUAAGGCAUAUGCGAAUGUGUGACAUCGAAACAAGGAUUCGUUACUUUGACAAAUUAGUAACAAGCGAGACACCUCAUUCGGCAACUCUCUUCGCCUGAAGACUUGGGGGACUCCCACCAUAUGCUACUGCACCUUAAUACUCGGCAGUCUCACAACCACUCAGUGACUUGGAUUUUUCAAGUCUCCAACCGAGAAGUUUUCCUCACUCGGGAAAUUAAGGGAAACACUACCUCAAACUACAUGUUUCACUCACAAAGCUUCAACAAUACAGGUUUCAACAAAAGCAAAAAUUCAAAGAACUUUAUGAAGAAGGCUUUGGUGUAUUUAACACAAUAUAUUGAAAUGAAGCAAAGCUUAUUUAUUAAUAUUUUCGAUAAGCCACAAAUAUGUACAUAUACAUGAGUCAAAAAUAAACAAACAAAAGGGAGCCUUCACAAAGGUUGCUUAGGGGAAGUCUCAGCAGUCGGUAGAGCCCCAGAAAGAGAAAGCACCGGAGGGUGGUUAUCCGGAGCCUCAGUACUUGACAAAACCCCAGAAGGAGGAGGCAUUGGAGGUUCAUCAUUUGAAGCUUCAUUACCAGGUACAGCCCCAGAGGACGAAGGCAAUAAAUGCCUUUGGAACAAACCCACAAACCGAUGAUGAUCAAGUAAAACCUUACCAUCAGAUUCCUUCAUCUGGUCAAGCUUCCUCUUCAUGUUUGUAGCAUAGUCAUGGGCGAGCCGGUGCAACUGCUUAUUCUCAUGCUUGAGCCCUCUAAUCUCCUGUUUGAGACUCAUCACUUCAGCAGCCAAUGAUUCAACUUGGUGGGUUCUAGCAAAUAGGCGUUAGGCCAUAUUAGACACAGAACCUGCACACUGAACACUAAGAGCCAGAGAGUCCUUAACAGCCAAC
rnacentral:lncRNA from 1 species